UCGAAAAUCGUGACGUUUUCAAUCCAGGGCUCGUCUUUCUGCAUAUGGUUGUUAUGUGUCCAACAACCAGAUCAGAAAGUCGAUUUCUGUUUUGAAAUUUUCAUCUGUCGUGGCG
rnacentral:precursor_RNA from 10 species